rnacentral:lncRNA from 1 species
GUAUUUGGACUGAUGGGUCAAGGUUUGGUAUUUCGAAAAUAAUUUUUAAAUUUGAAAGGUUUUAUUUUCUGUUCACCAAAUAUGUUGACUCAUUUCACAAAUAGAUCAGCAUAUUUCAUAAAUAGCAAUCCUAUUGCUAAUUACAUAACAGAAAAUAACUCAAUCAAAAUAAAUCAUGAAUAUUCCUUUAGAUCUAAUCUAACACAUUCAUGAUAAAUUUCA